rnacentral:misc_RNA from 1 species
GGGAUAUUGUUGUCGAUAAUUGUGCGAUCUGUAGGAAUCAUAUCAUGGAUCUCUGUAUUGAGUGUCAAGCAAACCAGGCUAGCGCAACCAGCGAGGAAUGUACUGUGGCUUGGGGGGUGUGUAAUCAUGCAUUUCAUUUCCAUUGUAUCAGUAGAUGGUUGAAGACACGUCAAGUUUGUCCAUUGGAUAAUAGCGAGUGGGAGUUUCAGAAGUACGGUCACUAGAACUUUCAUGCUGUUGAAGGAGAUGGUCCUUAAAAUUCUCAUGGGGCUGUAAUGGUUUUGACGAUUGACUCUCCCCAUUUAUGAUUUCUGAAAAUAGCAAUCUGAAGAUGCAUUUUGCUGCACAAUUAAAGUUAUCCAGAGGGUUAAUGCCGCCAAC